UACGUAGGGCGCAAGCGUUGUCCGGAAUUAUUGGGCGUAAAGAGCUCGUAGGCGGUUUGUCGCGUCUGCUGUGAAAAACCUAAGGCUCAACCUUGGGCUUGCAGUGGGUACGGGGCAGACUAGAGUGCGGUAGGGGGUGACUGGAAUUCCUGGUGUAGCGGUGGAAUGCGCAGAUAUCAGGAGGAACACCGAUGGCGAAGGCAGGUCACUGGGCCGCAACU
rnacentral:rRNA from 1 species